CACCAACGCAGCCCUGUGCACGUAUGUAGAGGCUGGUGGGGGUGGGGGGUUCUUUGUGCUGCCAGUGAAUUCCUCAGAAUAGAAUUGUGCAUGAAAAACCUCUUAGGAAAAUCAGAUUGCGGUUCUGCAGGGCAUUUUGAACACCACCUUUAUUCUUAAUUAUCACUUUUCCACAUGAUGAUGAGUUAGGAAAUCAGACAGGAAAGGUAAUGCCUGUGUGUGGAGAAGCUCUGGCCUGACCUAGUUAGAGACUCCCCCAGGCCCUGGAGGUGGUGCACGCCCCAGGACCCGGAGCUGGCCCUCACCUUUCAAAUAUUAGGUUGGUGUAAAACACACAGAGGCUCUGGCAACUGGCAGCACUGUGCCAUGCACAGGGGCCUCACACCGUCCAAACAAGAGCGCCUGUGUUGCCGUUGAGAUCCAUACCCAUGUUUGUGACAUUCCAAAUUCUGCCCUGAAUAUCACUGGAGUCCCUUGGUGUAGUCAGCAGAUCUCUCUCCCUCAAAGAUAAGGCUCUGCUCUGCAUUGAACUCACAUUUCUCUCCAAAGAAAGCAGCUUGUCCGUGUCGUUUCUUCACCAUGUAAGUGUGUGCNCUGCCUCGACUUAAACUUCCCAGCCUCCAGAACUUGAGAGGUUUUGUUCUUUAUAAAUUUCCCUGUCUCAGGCGUUUUGUCAUAGCAACCCAAACAGACUAAACAGAUGAGAAGCUGGGCCAGGGGUAAAUAGCCUUCAAUGUCCGACUCAGGAUCCUUGAGUCUGCUCAAGGUGAGGUGGGGAGGCUUUGGGGGUCCCAGAGGCGGGCCUGAGUUGGUCUGAAGAGGUCCAGGAACAGAAAGAGAAGGGCAGGAUAUGGGAGAUGGGAGGCGAAUCAACAGUGAAUUGGGCAGGAGAGCAGUGGCCAGCUGGGCAGGUGGCUGGUCACAUCUGAGAACAUGGAGACUUGGUGGAUGGACAGCUUUGCCUGGCGGUGGGGAGAGGAGGGUUAGCGGCUGUGGUUAGACGAGCCAAGUAAGGUGAGGAUAUAGAGGAGGGUGGAGGGUGGAGGUCUAGGGUUGGCUCUGUAAAGGACUGCAGGUGGAGCCGAGACGUCAGACCUGAGGUCAGCGCCUCAGAGAUGCAGAGAGAGGCAGGAGAUGCUGGGAACUGGACCGCGUCCCCAGGCUGCUUACCCCGUGCGCCACAUUGCGCUUUGACUUCUGCUCCAGCCUCCUGUGCUCCUCUCCCUCACCGUGGCUGUGCCAGCCCAGCCACCGCCCCUCCCCACAGCCACCACAGCAUCCUCCUCAAAUAUCAGCUCACAGCCCUGCAUGUCCCCUUGCCUUUGGCGGCCCCCUGGCAGGAGCAGACGGGAGGAUGCCCAUUGCCCACCUGCAGCCUGACUCAUCUGCACGUGGACACCCCGAGGCUCCCCCUGAGCCACGCAUAGUCAGAUCUCUGUUCCUGAUCGGAGACUAAGCCUCCACUUGUGACUGAUCAUACCGUGCUGCCAGUUGUUCUAACGCCCUCCGCGGCACAGUAGAAGGCUGGCCACAGGCACACAGCCAUGCCACUUUCAAGGGUGGCUUGUGAGUCGUGGGAGGGAUCCAAGGUAUGCCCGCCUGUUCCCAGGGCUCUGCAUUUCCACUGCACCCCUCCUCCCCGUGAGGGUCUUCAUCUGUCCUCAGGCUGCUCUGCGUCUUGGAAACCUGCUUCCUAUGUCUGGAGCCCUUGAAGCACAAACUGGGAGCUUCCCUUGCAGAGGUGUGACCAGCUCUCCCCGGGGAGGUCAGCAGCCUGCAGGAGGACGUGGGGAAGUUGCCAGAAGCAUUCGCCUUGUAGGGCCACAGGGUCGUGGGUGCAGGCUCCUGGCCCUGCUACGGCAUCACUGGGACACAUGGCUGUGGCAGUUUGUCCUUGGGCCACAGACCUUUCUCAUCAGGACAAUUCUGGGCACUUCCUAGAGGCAUAGCAUUGGGUGAGGGGCUUUGGCAAACUACCCAAUUAACCUAUCCUAAACCCCUUUUGUGGAGAACCAGCCUUGGCCAACUGCUGCUGCAUGUAGUAAGCACCUUGACUCUGACCUUGAUCAUGCUGACCUCUUCAGGGUUCAGCUCUGAAAGCCAGGCUCCUCUGGGGGUCUCCCCCAUCCCCAUGAAGACCCCGUCCUUUGACUUCCCAAAAACUCAGCCCUGACCAUUUACAGAAUCCAGGUCUGUCUCACAGCAGAGUGCUUGCUUGUGAGACCCAGGCAAGGGGGACCUCAACGAGUGGACGCAAACCGUCAGUCAGUCCUGGGGUGGAUGACAGAACCACUCAGGGUAUUAGUGCCUAGAUGGCUUUCUGUGUACCUGGUGACACUGCGGGUUACCAGGGACGAGUGCUGCUCCCCCAUGUUGAAGUGUGAUAUUAGAGAAGCACGCCGAGGGAUGCAUAUAGAGCAGGGUUUAUUUAAAAAGGGGAGACAGACUUCUCCGGGAAGGGAGGAGGGGCCAUAGCUGGUGUCCUGGUGUCCCCGGAGGCGAGGUGUUCUGUCUUUUUAUGUGUCCUAGGCUUCCUUUGAUCUCCUGCGCUCUUCCCUCUCUUCUCCUUCCUGCGUUCCUGACCAGGAGUUGCUGGGUGGGGUGGCCAAAAGGUGAGAAGCAGAUGGACCAGGUAAGGACCGGAUGGAGUGGCCCAGGACACAUUAAUUAAUAACUUUAUAACUCCCUGUAGGGAGGGGCAAUUCCUGAGACAGGUUACCUUAGCAACAGUCGGAGCGGAGCAGGUUGUCUUGAUAGGGUGGAGGAAGGGCUCUGAAGGCAUUUCGAUCCCUCUCCAACUUCCCAGACUCGCUCAAAUUGGCCUCCUUGAUCUGACCGGACUCGGUCUACCUACCUCCGACUGCCUGUCUAAUUCUGGCUUCCCUGGCACUGCUCUUUAUUUUCUUCAACAAGUGCAAGUUUUGUGUUGAAGAGUAGGAAGUUUUCUAGAAAGUUCUGUGUCUACUGCUCUUCCCACCAUGAUAUCACGUGUUUGGCUCAGCUGGAACUCACACUUUGGGAUGACAAGUUCUUGUUCUGUUUUUCACACACCCACACAUUUUUCUGCACUCCAAGUGCAAAUCAGCUCACACCCCAGGUGUAGAUCACCCCACUUGGGUGUGAUCGGCAGUCCUGGGUGCAUCGCCAUCACCUGCAGCCUCCAGUGAGCUGUCGUCCAGUGGCCCUGACACCUGAGCCCAGCAAGAGGUAGGAGUAGGGGCGGGUGGUUGCCUGGCAACGGCAGAGCUCCUGCCUUCCUGGGAGAGGAAAGACCUAGAGAAUCACCUCACUUUCAUUGUUGACUCUGAGCCUGGUUGGAACCUUUGAGCACAAAAAGGAGUUGAGAGUAGACUCCACACUGACGUCGGCCUAGCAGCCUGAACUACACCAACGCAGCCCUGUGCACGUAUGUAGAGGCUGGUGGGGGUGGGGGGUUCUUUGUGCUGCCAGUGAAUUCCUCAGAAUAGAAUUGUGCAUGAAAAACCUCUUAGGAAAAUCAGAUUGCGGUUCUGCAGGGCAUUUUGAACACCACCUUUAUUCUUAAUUAUCACUUUUCCACAUGAUGAUGAGUUAGGAAAUCAGACAGGAAAGGUAAUGCCUGUGUGUGGAGAAGCUCUGGCCUGACCUAGUUAGAGACUCCCCCAGGCCCUGGAGGUGGUGCACGCCCCAGGACCCGGAGCUGGCCCUCACCUUUCAAAUAUUAGGUUGGUGUAAAACACACAGAGGCUCUGGCAACUGGCAGCACUGUGCCAUGCACAGGGGCCUCACACCGUCCAAACAAGAGCGCCUGUGUUGCCGUUGAGAUCCAUACCCAUGUUUGUGACAUUCCAAAUUCUGCCCUGAAUAUCACUGGAGUCCCUUGGUGUAGUCAGCAGAUCUCUCUCCCUCAAAGAUAAGGCUCUGCUCUGCAUUGAACUCACAUUUCUCUCCAAAGAAAGCAGCUUGUCCGUGUCGUUUCUUCACCAUGUAAGUGUGUGCUGUUCUGUCUUACUUGGGCAUUUUGCAGACCAAUCAGGUCUAAACAGAGCUCUGGUUGAAUGAAAUAUGAUUUUUAUCUUGGGCUCCCAUAUAAUUUUGCCCUCAGCUCUGGGAGGAGCCACCCUGGACACCAGCCUAGGAAUCAGACCGUUGGCUUGCUUCUUUCUUUACGUGCAGUCCCUGGCCCACCUGAAUAAGAGCCACCAGGAGGAGCGUCAGAUGGCCCAGGCUCUCCAGCCUGCUGAUUUGGGUGCUCAUGGGCUCGGGAAUCAGCCUGUCAGCAAGCCUUCUUGGAUUCCUAGGAGCCCCAGCGUGUGAGGACAAGCUCAGGUUGUAGACUUCCUCUUCUGCACUGGGGCGGGCUGUGGGUCCUGGAGUGUGGCUCCUGUUUCAGCUGCAGCCCUGCAGACAGCUCUCUGUCUCCUGCCUUCCAUCCCUGUCCCUGUUUGCAGUGGCUUCCUGCUGAACUUUCAUUCAAACCCAGCCAUUGUUUUCUUCUCCCACACAAACAGGUCGCUGGACUCCUGGGCUGCCCAGUAAGAGGGAUUAGCAGGCCUCCAGUGCCUAGCAACAGUCCCGCCUCCAGCGCCUAGCAACAGACCCGCCUUCUGCACCUAGCAACAAUCCUGCCCUCUGCACCUAGCAACAGAGCCACCUCCGCUGCCUCAGGCUGUGCUUUGCAGUCCUCGGAAGAGACUUCAUCUCCUUAGCAGGAAGUCCCAGCAGGACAGCCUGUGCCCACCAGGGGGACGUCUGCCGCUCUUCCGCAGCUGUGAAUUGGGGAAUGGGCUGAUGUCUCCGUGGAGGCACCGUGUGGGCAGAGGCCUGGUUCCCUGUGGAUUGCGCUGGUCCUCCCCGGGCUGUGCAGAGGGCCUCCUGGGCACCUGCACACUCUGGAAGGCCUCUGUGAGCUCCAGGAGGGGUGUGGGCCCUGCCUCUGCCCCCUGGAUCCAGGUGGGCUCUGAGGCAGGCCUGGCUCCUUGCCUGGGGCAACAGCACUCCUGCAGGGGCACUCCCCACACAAGCUUAUUCCUAGGCACCCAGGCUAAAAAGACUUCUAGACACUUCCUUGGCCAAUAGAGUCCUGACACUUUAGAGAUUUUUCCUCAUUUGAUCUUGACAAUGUGGUAUGAAGUAGGCACAUUUACUAUCCUCAUUUUACAGAUCAGGAAGGGAAGCACAGAGAGGCUAAGAACUUUCCCAAGCUCACACAGCUAGCAAGUGUGAUUGACAUCCACUAUCAGGCAGCCUGGUUCCCAGGUCUUUGCUGUGCCCCUUUCCUACCCUACCCAGGUGAUGCUUUCUGUGAGUCAGAAACCCCAGCAUGACAAGGAAAUGGCGACUUGCAUAAUUAAAAAUGGCAAAUAUAAAAAAUCAUAAUAUUGGACUUUGGAUGUUUUAGUGAAGGUAGGUAGAGCAGGGUUUGCCAAAGUCUAGUGGUUUUAAUUCCCUUUCGCCAAGCAGAGCAGUUGGUUGGAAUUCUCUCUGACACCCCAGGGGCUGCAUGGAGUUGGGACAGAGUCCUAGGGAGCAACAGUAGUUUUAAAAUUUGUUACAACAUAAACAUCUGUCAAUCACAGGAUGAUCUAAUAAACAGCUGCAGCACAUAUGUACAGUGGGCACUUUUACACAAUGGAAUAGUACUACCAAGAGGGAGAAGCAGAUCCCGUCACCAUGUGCAGGGGUCUCCAAGUCAGCAGGGGAGAGAGCACACUGGGUACAGGAGUGUGGCACCCAUCAUCUCUCUGGCCCACGCAGUACUUCCAGAAUGAGAAGCUCGGUCCCGGGGCCCAGAGAUCAGGAUUUGAGGGGCCCAGUUUCUGUCGUGCUGUUUAGUCUCUUACUCUGAGCCAACAUCAUUUUCAACAUUCCAUAUUUUUUGCUACAGAUCAUAAUUUAUGAAAUGAGAGCAAUUGGGAACUGGCUGUAAGCACCCAAGGAACAGAACGAAUACCCCAAUUUGCAAAAUUAAAAAUCAAACAAGUACCUAAUUUACAUGCUGUUAAUCAACAAAGUGGGCAUAUGUAGUCAGAUAAUCAAAAUUGAUUGUGUGUGUUUAGAGCAAGAUUUUUUUUCCAGCCAGGGCCCACGGGGGGUUCUAGGAGUCUUUGAAACCCUCAGAAUGGUGCACAGAUAUUUUGUUAAUUUUGGCCUGAUUAGCUUAUAAGGAGGGUAUCCAAGGCUUUUAGUUAAUUCUUACACAGGUUCAUGAUGCAUAAAAGCUAACCACCAGCCAAGGUGCUGGGGAAAUGACCUUGAUAGAAAAAACUAGCAUUCCAAGCUUAGUUCUCUGGUGAGCCAGCAGCCACGCCCAGUCAGGUGGGAGGCCACUGGUCCCUAGGUCAACGCUGGCUGCAUUGACAUGCUGCCCAUGGCUCCUAUGCAGUUCUUACUUGUGACACAUGGUCGCAUCAGGCUGCAGGACUGCGUUGGUGGGGUGCACCAGGACCCUCAUCCAGCCCUCUGUGGUGGAAGGGGCUUAUUCUUCACACCUGACAGGUGGUCCAUAGGAUCUGGCUUUGAUCCACACUUGAUGUGGCUACAGCACCCCUGGGCACGGGGUCCACUUUACAGGUAGGAAGAAAGGCAAAGGUGGUGCGCACUGUGAUCCCAGCAGCUCAGGAGGCUGAAGGAUCUCAAGUUCAAAGCCAGCCUUAGCAAAAGGGAGGCCCUAAGCAACUUAACAAGACCCUGUCUCUAAAUAAAAUAUAAAAAGGGCUGGGGGUGUGGUUCAGUGGCUGAGUGCACUUGGGUUCAAUCCCUAAUACCCAAAAAGGAGGAGGAAGGAGGAAGGAGGAGAAAGAAGGAGGAGGAGGAGAGGAGUAAAGGUCGUGGAACUGCCAACCGAGUCUCUCUUUACAAGGGCAGCAGAAACCCUGCCUCCGUAGCACUGCCCAGAGUCCCCUGCACGUGGUCGGGCGGGACUGCAGCACGGGCAGCCCCCUGGUUACAGAAAGCCUGGGCUGGGUGUGGAGGGCCUCUGGUUGACUGAAAGUCACCCUAAACUGCAGAGACUCCUUUAGUGUGGAAGGACAGGGGCCAGCAGAGACUGUGGGCCCCGGGUUGAGUCUGUCCCUGUGGCUCGGGGGAGUGUGCCUGAGUCUGCCUUCUCCAGAGCUGGAGCAUGGAUCAGAGAAUCAACUGGGCCUAAAACUGGCCCAAUACCUGCAUUGUGAGAGUGCAGCCCGAGUUACCACCCCUGGCUGCACCCACGAUCCUGAAAUCCAGAAUGAGAGCCGUGACUUGAUGUUUCCCUCUUCAGGUCUCAUUCUGACACAGGCACAGGACAGCUGGGACUUCGUGAAGGAUCCUGAUGGAAGCAAAAUGCACUUUAAUAAAAAUGAGGUGCAAGAAAAGAAGAAAUGAAGUAACCAAGCGGGCCUGAGUCACUUCCACUGUGGGCGCGGACUGUCACAGCCUACCUCUGCUGUCAACAAGGCCUCUGAUCACUGUCCUCACUGUGAAGAAAACAGGUGUCUUUUCUCCGAGCCUUUCCGCCGGAAGCCACCAGGACACCGGGGAUGCAUUUCCCAGCUGCGGACACUGAGGCCUGGUGGCGGGCAGGGUAGGAGCAUGCUCGCCAGCUGGGCCGUUCGAAGGAGCAGUGGGCAGAGUCGGGGAGAGUCUGGGGCUGGGGGGUCAACAGGCCUGCAAGGUAGGAGGAGUGCCCUCAUCACAGCCGCAGGUCUCCCUGAGCAUAGAACUCAAGUCUGAGAAGGCGAAACCCGCUUCUUAUUCCUGCCAUGCUGUCUGAGACGCCAAGGGACGGUGCCUCCCUCUGUGACACAGCUGGCCUCCUGGGAUCACCCGCUCCUGUCACCCCCUGCAAACAGCCCCAGGCCCCCGGGAACCUACAGGCUGACUUGUAUCUGUACAGCAUGAUGUUUCUCCAGAGGCCAAGAACUCACGAGUUCAUAGCAAAGCUCCAACAUAAAAGUAUAUAAUAUAUAUAUAUAUAUAUAUAUAUAUAUAUAUAUAUAUAUAUAUAUAUAUAUAAAAUAUAGAAGUAAAAGCUCUCUCCCCCUUGAACAGCCUCUGCCAUCUCUACAUGGACUCCAGAAGUAUUAAUUUGAAAACCUCAUAUUUUAAAGAGACACUACUGUAAAGGACAGCCUUUCCCUUCUUCCUCUUCUUCUCACAACAGAAUGGCCAUCCCAAGCAUGGCGGGCACUGUCUAGACCGCGUUUAGCGCACGGAGAAAGAAGUUAUUACCCACAGUCCAAGAAGAGGAAAAUUUCCUUAGUCUCCAAAAGGAGAAAGCUCUGAACACGUGAGCCCCCGCUCAGCUUCGGUUCGAAGUGCUCCAGGAUGGCUCUGGAUCACGCUGCUCUUUCCUGGUCACACAGAUGGCAUUUUUUACAUCAUACCAAGUAGCUUUGAUUUUUAUUUUCUAUCCACGCAAGGGAAAAACCAGGCAGUAUUUCGGAAGCUGUGAUUCUGGGAAUUGUGGGUCCUUUCUUUAAAGUUCUGAGACUAAAUUGAAAUCCAGGUUUCCUUAAAAUAAAUAUCCUUUGUUAUCACAGCUCUGAAA
rnacentral:lncRNA from 1 species